GGGGGCGAAACAGGAUCGACACGCGUGGUAAAGGCAUGGUUUUCGCUCGGCAUGGUUCCGCCGUUAUCGGGCCGUUGCAAUAGUUGCCAACGACAACGUUGCUCAGGCUCGCCUCGCUGCCUAACGGCGGCUGGUAGCCUAAACCUAAUCCCCGAGGGUUAGCGCCCAAGGGUGGGGCCGUGGGCCGCCUAGCAACAGAAGGCCCACAC
rnacentral:tmRNA from 1 species